rnacentral:tRNA from 1 species
UUAAUUGAAACCAAAGAGAGGUAUAAUACUGUUAAUAUUACUAAUGAAUAAAAUUCCAAUUAAA